rnacentral:rRNA from 1 species
AUUGAACGCUGGCGGCAGGCCUAACACAUGCAAGUCGAGCGGAUGAGGAGAGCUUGCUCUCUGAUUUAGCGGCGGACGGGUGAGUAAUGCCUAGGAAUCUGCCUGGUAGUGGGGGAUAACGUUCCGAAAGGAACGCUAAUACCACAUACGUCCUACGGGAGAAAGCAGGGGACCUUCGGGCCUUGCGCUAUCAGAUGAGCCUAGGUCAGAUUAGCUAGUUGGUGAGGUAAUGGCUCACCAAGGCGACGAUCCGUAACUGGUCUGAGAGGAUGAUCAGUCACACUGGAACUGAGGCACGGUCCAGACUCCUACGGGAGGCAGCAGUGGGGAAUAUUGGACAAUGGGCGAAAGCCUGAUCCAGUCAUGCCGCGUGUGUGAAGAAGGUCUUCGGAUUGUAAAGCACUUUAAGUUGGGAGGAAGGGUUGUAGAUUAAUACUCUGCAAUUUUGACGUUACCAACAGAAUAAGCACCGGCUAACUUCGUGCCAGCCGCCGCCGUAAGAC